UACAGAGGGUGCAAGCGUUAAUCGGAAUGACUGGGCGUAAAGGGCGCGUAGGCGGUCAGAUAAGUUAGAUGUGAAAUCCCUGGGCUUAACCUAGGAACUGCAUUUGAUACUGUCUGACUAGAGUAGGGUAGAGGGAAGUGGAAUUUCCGGUGUAGCGGUGAAAUGCGUAGAUAUCGGAAGGAACACCAGUGGCGAAGGCGCUUUCUGGGACCUAUACUGACGCUGAGGCGCGAAAGCGUGGGGGAGCAAACAGGG
rnacentral:rRNA from 1 species